rnacentral:rRNA from 1 species
AGUGAACGCUGGCGGCGUGCCUAACACAUGCAAGUCGAACGACAAGACAAUGAGAUUGUUCCUUUGACGUUAGCGGCGGGCGGGCGAGUAACAAGUAGAUCACAUACUUCUAUUACUGGGGUAAUAACGGGAAACAGCAUCUACUACUACCUCAUACAUCCAACCGGUGAAAUCAGUAGUUAAUGGCACCUUUCCCGACACAUAUAGCUGGUUCCGCGUCGCAUUAGCUAGUUGGUAAGGUAACGGCCUACCAAGGCAACGAUGCGUAGCCGACCUGAGAGGAUGAUCGGCCACACUGGAACUGAGACACGGUCCAGACUCCUACGGGAGGCAGCAGUGGGGAAUCUUCCACAAUGGGCGAAAGCCUGACGGAGCAAUACCGCGUGGGUGAAGAAGGUCUUCGGAUCGUAAAGCCCUUUUAUUGGGGAAGAAAAGAUGCGGAUUAAACUACGGACGUCUUGACGGUACCUAAACAGAAAGCCACGGCUAACUACGUG